AUACUCGGGGAUAGCCUUUCGAAAGAAAGAUUAAUACCCGAUGGUGUAAUAAAACCGCAUGGUUUAAUUAUUAAAGAAUUUCGGUUAUCGAUGGGGAUGCGUUCCAUUAGGCAGUUGGUGAGGUAACGGCUCACCAAACCUUCGAUGGAUAGGGGUUCUGAGAGGAAGGUCCCCCACAUUGGAACUGAGACACGGUCCAA
rnacentral:rRNA from 1 species